CUAGCAGGUGUUGCUAACCUUAGCUCCUAAUUCGAAUUGGAUUCGAAUCUGAUUCUUAAUUGAUCUAAUUUGAUUAGAUCAUGUUCUAAUAUGGGAUAACCAAGAGUUGGCACCUAAUUAGCUUGGUUUGAGUCUAAUUGGAUUAGAUUUGAUAAAUCAUUCAAUCUAGACCGUUAGAUCUUGAUCUACCGUUGAAUGAAGACAUAAUGGAGAGUUGGUUUAACCCAAUUGGAUUGGGUUAGAGGAUGGCUAUCAUAAUUGACCAUUGAAUCUUAAUCCCACCAUUGGAUGAAUACAUAAUGGGUCAAGUGAAUGGCGCCUUGCAUUGGAGCCCUUGGAUCAUCAUCAUGAAAGAUCAAGAGGUGAGGCGUGAUGGACAUGUGAUUGGCAUGUGAUGUUGACUUGGUCAAAAUAUGGCACCACAUGAAAGGACAUAUCAUUUGAUACACCUCUUCACUUGAUC
rnacentral:lncRNA from 1 species